UGGGGAAUCUUGCGCAAUGGGCGAAAGCCUGACGCAGCGACGCCGCGUGGGGGACGAAGGCCUUCGGGUUGUAAACCCCUGUCAGGCGGAACGAAUCCCCCGAGGACGAACAAUCCUCGGGGUUGACGGUACCGCCAGAGGAAGCCCCGGCUAACUACGUGCCAGCAGCCGCGGUAAUACGUAGGGGGCUAGCGUUGCUCGGAUUUACUGGGCGUAAAGAGCGCGUAGGCGGCCAGGUAAGUCCGGUGUGAAAUCCCUCGGCUCAACCGAGGAUCCGCAUUGGAAACUACCUGGCUUGAGUCCAGGAGAGGAGGGUGGAAUUCCCGGUGUAGCGGUGAAAUGCGUAGAGAUCGGGAGGAACACCGGUGGCGAAGGCGGCCCUCUGGAAUGGUACUGACGCUGAGGCGCGAAAGCUGGGGGAGCGAACGGGAUUAGAUACCCCCGUAGUCC
rnacentral:rRNA from 1 species